UUUUGGGAGCUCACUGGCUUUGGAUUUCAAGGGAACUCUGAAGUUAAGCAAGUUUGGGCUAGAGCAAUCCCAAGAUGGGUGACCCACUGGGAAGUUUCUCGUGAAUUUUCAGAAA
rnacentral:rRNA from 1 species